rnacentral:rRNA from 1 species
CCCAACUAUCCCUAUUAAUCAUUACGUCAAUCCUAGAAACCAACAAAAUAGGAUCGAUCGUCCUAUUUCAUUAUUCCAUGCUAAUGUAUUCAAGCGUUAGCCUGCUUUAAACACUCUAAUUUUUUCAAAGUAACAGUCCAGAUUCCCCGCAACACCAAAUUAAUGGCAUUACGGUUCAUCAGGAAGGAGGAAUCAGUGAGACCAGUACAUACCUGUGGCACGACCAGCCUACUGACCCCGAAAUUCAACUA